rnacentral:tRNA from 1 species
AAGUAAGUAAGCUUAGUUGAUAAAGCACUUGUCUAGCGAAUAAGGGUCGUGAGUUCAAAUCUCACCUGAGCUG